rnacentral:lncRNA from 1 species
CCAUUCCAUGUGCUUUGUCCUAGCAUGUUCAUUCUUGACUUUCUCCACUUCAUUUUAUUAAAAAGUUAAAUGCUUUAGGAAUCUGUGGCGUGUGGCCACUGACCGCCCCCCACCUCCUGCCGCUCCUCCAAGUUUGAGCUGAGAUGGUUCUGUGAGUCCUUGGCAGGGGUCAAAGGGCACAUCUCCUUGAACCUAGAAAGCCCCCUACACUCUCAGAGGACACCUCUCCUGUGGAUUCAGCGCUGGGGCAGUGAAGGUGUCGGGAGCCAGCAGAGCAUGUUCCAGGGUCACCCCCGAGAGGACAACAGGCAUCUGGAAGUGCUCUCUCGCCACUCUGGGUGCUUUACUGUCUCUGGCUUGUUUCCAUCACUGGAAAUCACUUAGAGAAUUGUAGUGUUUUUGGUCCUUGAUAAAGCCUAGAAGACAUUUGUGAUGUUACAAAAUGGAAGUUUUCUUUUGUUUCUGUUUUUUAAGAUCUAAGAAGUUGUGAAUGUUGUUAAUCAUUUAGCCGUUGCAAUAAAUGUAGAGGAAAUGCA